GAUCCUGGCUUAGGAUGAACGCUGGCGGCGUGCUUAACACAUGCAAGUCGAACGCUGAAGCUCCCAGCUUGCUGGGGGUGGAUGAGUGGCGAACGGGUGAGUAUCACGUGAGUAACCUGCCCUUGACUCUGGGAUAGGCCCGGGAAACUGGGUCUAAUACUGGAUAGGACUGGCCAUCGCAUGGUGGUUGGUUGAAAGCUUUUUGCGGUUUUGGAUGGACUCGCGGCCUAUCAGCUUGUUGGUGGGGUAAUGGCCUACCAAGGCUUUGACGGGUAGCCGGCCUGAGAGGGUGACCGGCCACACUGGGACUGAGUCACGGCCCAGACUCCCACGGGAGGCAGCAGUGGGGGAUAUUGCACAAUGGGCGCAAGCCUGAAUGCAGCGACGCCGCGUGAGGGAUGACGGCCUUCGGGUUGUAAACCUCUUUCAGUUGGGAAGAAGCCUUUCGGGGUGACGGUACCUUCAGAAGAAGCACCGGCUAACUACGUGCCAGCCGCAGC
rnacentral:rRNA from 1 species